UGCACGAAAGUGUGAUAGGGGGAUUCCAAGUGCUUAUACUAAGUAUAAGCUUUUGCCAAGGGUAAAAACCUUGGAGAAUAAGUGGUGGGAAAGACUGGUGCCAGCAGCCGCGGUAACCCCAGCGCCACGAGUGGCAAUCACAUUUAUUGGGCCUAAAGCGUCCGUAGCCGGUCUGAAAAAUCUUUUGUGAAAUCGUACAGCUUAACUGAACGGCGUGCAGAAGACACUAUCAGACUAGGGACCGGGAGGAGUCAGAGGUAUGCCGGGGGGAGCGGUAAAAUGCUAUAAUCCCUGGUAGACCACCUGUGGCGAAGGCGUCUGACUAGAACGGAUCUGACGGUGAGGGACGAAAGCUAGGGGAGCGAACCGGAUUAGAUACCCGAGUAGUCCUAGCUGUAAACGCUGUGAACUAGGUGUUGCACAUUCUCCGAGAAUGUGCAGUGUCGAAGCGAAGGUGUUAAGUUCACCGCCUGGGAAGUACGGUCGCAAGACUGAAA
rnacentral:rRNA from 1 species